AUUGAACGCUGGCGGCAGGCCUAACACAUGCAAGUCGAACGAGUAGCGGACGGGUGAGUAAUGUCUGGGAAACUGCCUGAUGGAGGGGGAUCACUACUGGAAACGGUAGCUAAUACCUCAUACAAUCAGAUGUGCCCAGAUGGGAUUAGCUAGUCCGUGGGGUAACGGCUCACCAAGGCGACGAUCACUAGCUGGUCUGAGAGGAUGACCAGCGACACUGGAACUGAGACACGGUCCAGAUUCCUACGGGAGGCAGCAGUGGGGAAUAUUGCACAAUGGGCGCAAGCCUGAUGCAUCCAUGCCGCGUGUAUGAAGAAGGCCUUCGGGUUGUAAUGCACUUUCAGCGGGGAGGCGUUACCCGCAGAAGAAGCACCGGCUAACUCCGUGCCAGCAGCCGCGGUAAUAC
rnacentral:rRNA from 1 species